UGCUCACUACACAAAGCCUCAGGGCUGAAGUGAACCUAUGCAGGACUACAACAGCAACAAGUACUUGCAAAACAACCCUUCACCAUGCCCUGCUAUGGGAGUCAAGCUAAUAUGCUAGUGUCAGAGCUUGAAAUUCAUAAUUAUGGUAUUUAUCUGCUGUUGUGAUUCAUUGCUUCAGCUGUACACCAAACAUGAAUGGACUGCUGAAUCUGUAGUGAAACAGACAUGAGAUAACUUGUCAUACAUACAGAAUCAAGUGAAAUGUGAAGAGGACACUAAAGAAACUCAGUGCAAUAAAUAUCAAUAAGUAUCAGAUCAAUCUUUAUUUUUUGCCUCGCUAUGUCAAAUAAAAGGUGAAAAUAGUA